ensembl:lncRNA RPL26L1-AS1 RPL26L1 antisense RNA 1
CGCCGGGUCGCUCCCGAGCUCCGCGUUUCGUUCGCCGACCCCUGGAAGACUGCCUGGAGGCCCGGGCGCCACCCAACCACUGGCUAGGCCGACACUUUGCGCGGACCCUGGGUGUAAAAGGUCCCCGGGUCUCUGGUCCCGACGGAGCUGUGAGGGAGAUCAACCACGCCCCCUCCGUGGGCACCGUGGCGGCAGGGAAGGAAAAGGGCUCUGGGUCUCGACUCUCUUCGGGUUAAGAACCGACGGGGUUUAUUCUAUGCAAGGUGUUAUUAACUCCAACUCUCCCUUUCGUUCAUUCAUUCCAUAUAUGUUGAACGACAACUUAGUGCCAAAUGCCGGCAUGCUGAAACUCAGAGAGGGAAGAUGUCUUGCAAGUACAGCAGCCACACCCAGAGUUUCGCUCUUGUUCCCUGGGCUGCAGUGCAGUGGCACCAUCUCGGCUCACCGCAACCUCCGCCUCCCAAGUUCAAGCGAUUCUCCUGCCUCAGCCUCCCCAGUAUCUGGGAUUACAGUAAAAUUAAAACAGGCACAAUGAUAUCCUGGAUGACAAGAGCUGGAGGCUGUCAUUCUAACAAUGUAGUGAGACUGGCUGUCUUGUCUCAUGCCCACCCCUGGAAACAUGCGCAGGAACUCAAAGCACCUAGCACAGAGGAAGUGUCUGGUUGUUUUAAAGGAAAAACAAAACCAAAAAAAGCACCUCCUGCUCUGACCACCCCUAUUUCCAGUUUUCCCUUUUGGCACAGCAAAGAUGACCUUGGGACUGAGGUGGAACCAUGUAAUUCUUCGUAAUCCCAGAGUCAGGCAGACCUGGGUAUGAAUUCCAUCUUUACUAACUGUGUGACUCACUGUGUGGCCAUGCCAAGUUACGAGGUCUCUCUGUUUCCUCCUUCCUAAAAAGGAGAUAACAUCCAUCUCGAAGGAAGAUCUGGCCUGAAGAGCAGUCACUCUUGCCUGGCAUGCAGAGAAUGCCAAAUCAUAUUAAUGACUGGCCAGAAUGAAGUGCGUGACCUCAUCACUCCAUAACUGACAGGAAACAACUGCUAGGGCAAGAAAAAAGGGUCUCCAGUGAGUAUUCUUGUCCACACACAUCCCCACUCAC